CUAUCCCACAAGACAAUGCGCUUUUACGAUAUAAAUUGGCGUAACACCCAUGAUUCGGCCUCAUUCAAUCCUCUCAAUCGCUUGUGGGAAGGCGUUGGUUGUUUGGCCUAGUGGACUAUGCAAGAAGCGAUAAGGCGUUGGUUUUUUGGCCUGAUGGACUAUGUUAGCGGGCCGUACAACUCCUGACUCGGGGACAAGGAAGGCGUUGGUCGUUUGGCCUAAUGGCCUUUGGAAGCGGGUUGUACAACUCCUGGCUGGGGACGUGGUCCUUGCAGAUGCAGCUUUGGCAUCAGUCAUAUACCGGUCACUGUUGAAUUGGUGGUUUUAACUGCCAUGAUGGGCUUCUCUUUGAUGCGCCGUCUGCAACACCAGACCUGAUGGGACUUGGCAUCAGUCAUGCUGGUCACCUUGCUGAACCUCUGGUCCACGAUGUUCAUGUGGACCCCAGGAUGAUGUGGAGAGACUGCCUUCACUCAGCAGGUAGUCCAAGAUGCCUUUUGUUCAGCUCUCCAAUUUACAUGGACCCACCAUGAAGGUACUCCAGACUUUUGAUCAGCUCAGUAGUUCAUAUGGAACCACCCAUGAAGGCAGUCCAUGCGGUGUGACUCCUAGCCUCAUGAUGGAGGACCUUAAACCAUCAGGUGCACUUGUCUUUCGGGCAGGCUAUGGUGGGUGACUCCUAACCCCAUGAUGGAGGACUUUUUUUAAACCAUCAGGUGCACUGCUGUCUGUGGACCCGUGAUGGAGGAUUGUGAUACUUGAGAAGGUUGUUGGAACCCUCGGCUACAUGUUGGGAGAUGCUUCACAUUGCCUUGACGGCACACAAGCGUUCUGGAGACUGACUGGAGGACACUGCUGAAUUGCAAAUGUGUCCUGAAGAUUGCCACGGGUUUAACUGCUCCUUCAAUGCACUUUCCAAUCUUGCUGACUGGAGGAAAACUUUGAAAACGGUGACUGCCCUUCCUGUUCAGGCGCUUGGGAGAUGUUGCACACAACAAAUCAAUAAAAUGACUUAAACUUA